GUGUGUGUGUGUGUGUGUGUGUGUGUGUGUGUGUGUGUGUGUGUGUGUGUGUGUGUGUGUGUGUGUGUGUGUGUGUGUGUGUGUGUGUGUGUGUGUGUGUCUACUUCCUCCUACGCAGCCUGAAGGACAUGCUGGAACCAUGCCAGGGUGUAUCUACAGUACCUUCAGAAUGUAUUCAUACCGCUUGACUUUUUUCCUACAUUUUGUUGUGUUACAGCCUGAAUUUCAAAUGGAUUAAAUAGAGAAUAUUUGUCACUGGCCUGCACAUAAUACCCCAUCAUGACAUCACAAUACCCCAUUGUGACAUCACACUACCCCAUUAUGACAUCACAAUACCCUGUUGUGACAUCACAAUAAACCAUUGUGACAUCACAAUACCCUGUAGUGACAUCACAAUACACCAUUGUGACAUCACAAUACCCCCUCAUGUCAAAGUGGAAUUAUGUUUUUAGAGAUUUUAUCAAAUGAAUUAAGAAUGAAAAGCUGAAAAAUAUCAAAAUAGUAUUCAGCACCUUUAUUAUGUCAAGCCUAAAUAUGUAUAAAUGUGCUUAACAAGUCACAUAAUAAGUUGCAUGGACUCACUGUGUGAAAUAAUUGUGUUUAACAUGAUUAUUGAAUUACUACCUCGUCUCUGUACCCCACACAUACAAUUAUCUGUAAGGUCCCUCAUCUCUGUACCCCACACAUACAAUUAUCUGUAAGGUCCCUCAUCUCUGUACCCCACACAUACAAUUAUCUGUAAGGUCCCUCAUCUCUGUACCCCACACAUACAAUUAUCUGUAAGGUCCCUCAUCUCUGUACCCCACACAUACUGUAAGGUCCCUCAUCUCUGUACCCCACACAUACUGUAAGGUCCCUCAUCUCUGUACCCCACACAUACUGUAAGGUCCCUCAUCUCUGUACCCCACACAUACUGUAAGGUCCCUCAUCUCUGUACCCCACACAUACUGUAAGGUCCCUCAUCUCUGUACCCCACACAUACUGUAAGGUCCCUCAUCUCUGUACCCCACACAUACAAUUAUCUGUAAGGUCCCUCAUCUCUGUACCCCACACAUACAAUUAUCUGUAAGGUCCCUCAUCUCUGUACCCCACACAUACAAUUAUCUGUAAGGUCCCUCAUCUCUGUACCCCACACAUACAAUUAUCUGUAAGGUCCCUCAUCUCUGUACCCCACACAUACAAUUAUCUGUAAGGUCCCUCAUCUCUGUACCCCACACAUACUGUAAGGUCCCUCAUCUCUGUACCCCACACAUACAAUUAUCUGUAAGGUUCUUCAGACGAGAAGUGAAUUUCAAACACAGAUUCAACCACAAAGACCAGGGUGGUUUUCCAAUGCUUCGCAAAUGGCACCUAUUGGCAGAUGGAUAAAAAAUUAAAUAAUUAAAUAACAGACAUUGAAUAUCCCUCUGAGCAUGGAACAGUUAUUCAUUACAUAUUGGAUGGUGUCACUACAGAGAUACAGGAGUCCGGAGAGGAAGGAAACCGCUCAGGGAUUUCACCAUGAGGUCAAUGGUGACUUUGAAGUUGAAUGGCUGAGAAAGGAGGAAACUGAGGAUGGAUUAACAACAUUGUAGUUACUCCACAAUAACAACCUAAUUGACAGAGUGAACAGAAGGAAUCUUGUACAGAAUAUAAAAUAUUCUAAAUCAUACAUCCUGUUUGCAACCAGGCACUAAAGUAAUAAGAUGUGGCAAAUCCAAUACAACACAUCUCUGAGGACCACUCUCCAUAUUGUCAAGCAUAAUGGUAGCUGCAUCAUGUUAGGGGUAUGCAUCAUGUUAUGCUUGUAAUCGUUAAGGACUGGGGAAUUUUUCAGGAUAAAAAAAAAUAAACAGAAUGGAGUUAAGCACAGGAAAAAUCCUAGAGGAAAACAUAGUUCAGUCUGCUCCCCACCAGACACUGGGAGAUGAAUUUAUCUUUCAGCAGGACAAUAACCUAAAACACAAGGACACAUCUACACUGGAGUUACUUACCAAGAAGACAGUGAAUGUUCCUGAGUGGCAGAGUUACAGUUUAGACUGAAAUAUGACCUGAAAAUGGUUGACCUGAAAACCAAUGUGACAGCUUGAAGAAUUUUGUAAAGAAUAAAUGGCCAAAUAUUACAGAAUCCAGGUGUGGAAAGCUCUUAGAGAAUUACCCAGAAUGACUCACAGCUCUUAGAGAAUUACCCAGAAUGACUCACAGCUCUUAGAGAAUUACCCAGAAUGACUCACAGCUCUUAGAGAAUUACCCAGAAUGACUCACAGCUCUUAGAGAAUUACCCAGAAUGACUCACAGCUCUUAGAGAAUUACCCAGAAUGACUCACAGCUCUUAGAGAAUUACCCAGAAUGACUCACAGCUCUUAGAGACUUACCCAGAAUGACUCACAGCUGUAAUCACUGCCAAAGGUGAUUCUAUAAAGUAUUGACUCAGGGGUGUGAAUACUUAUGUAAAUUAGAUAUUUCUGUAUUUCAAUUUCAAUACAGUUGUAAACAUUUCUAAAAACAUGUUUUGAGUUUGUCAUUAUAAGGGACUGUGUGUAGACGGGAGAGAGAAACAAUCUAUUUCAUCCAUUUUGAAUACUUUCUGAAGGCACUGUAAUUACCUUGAUGGAAAAACAAACACCUCUCGAAUCGGCCAAACAUGACACACACACACAGACACCCACACACAGACACAGACACCCACACACAGACACCCACACACAGACACAGACACCCACACACAGACACCCACAUACAGACACAGACACCCACA